UUGCUAUGAUGAGCUUCUACUUCAUGGUCCGUGUUUCUGAAACCCAUGAUUUUAAUCGAAGUUCUGAGCAU